CAGCUGCACAACGAGAUGAGGCUGGUCAUUGUCAUUUUCUGAGCUGUGAACGGGCAGGAAGCUGCACAACGGGAUGAGGCUGGUCAUUGUCAUUUUCUGAGCUGUGAACGGGCAGGAAGCUGCACAACGGGAUGAGGCUGGUCAUUGUAAUUUUCUGAGCUGUGAACGGGC